rfam:Devosia sp. 67-54 SCNpilot_cont_1000_bf_scaffold_66, whole genome shotgun sequence.
GACGUCUCGCUGGGGUGCUCCGGAGACGGAGCUGAGAAACACCCAUUGAACCUGAACCAGGUCAUGCUGGCGGAGGAAGUUCGAGAUGGCAAGGG